rnacentral:lncRNA from 1 species
CACAUCCAAGCUUAGAAAUUCCAUAGUCUUCUUCAUAAUCUCCCAUGUAUCAGAUGACUUCAGAGAUAGGCAUUAAGCAUAGGUUCAAAGUAACAGCUUCAAUAAGAUCAAGUAGUAGAUGAACUUAAAUGGAUAUUCAAUAUUUUCUUCAGAUGAAGUUUCAAUUCACAAGCACUUGGUUUCAUGAAAGUUGACAUUGGCUAAGUCCUUUUUGCAUGGGGGGUGUUGCCUAAUUCUAAGUCCAAUGUCUCAGAUCAAAUCCAA